GCCAGGAUGGUCUAAUCGGUUAAGGCGUCGCCCCGGUCAGGCGAAGGUUGCGGGUUCAAUCCCCGCUCCGGGCC
rnacentral:tRNA from 1 species